UCGCCUAAGGAUGAGUCGGCGGCGGAUUAGGUUGAUGGCGGGGUAAUGGCCCACCAUGCCUUUGAUCCGUAGGGGCCAUGAGAGUGGUAGCCCCAAGAAGGGUACUGAUAUACUGACCCUAGCCCUACGGGGUGCAGCAGGCGCGAAACCUUUACAAUGCACGAAAGUGUGAUAAGGGAAUCCUAAGUGCUCAUGCUUUGCAUGGGCUUUUGUCAAGAGUAAAUACCUUGGCGAAUAAGUGGUGGGCAAGACUGGUGCCAGCCGCCGCGGUAACACCAGCGCCACUAGUGGCAACCAUGUUUAUUGGGCCUAAAGCGUCCGUAGCCGGUCUGACAAAUCUUUUGUGAAAUCGUUGAUGUAAACUUAACGGCGAGCAAGAGACACUAUCAGACUUGAGAUCGGGAGGAGUCAGAGGUAUUCCUUGGGGAGCGGUAAAAUGCUAUAAUCCUUGGAAGACCACCUGUGGCGAAGGCGUCUGACUAGAACGAUUCUGACGGUGAGGGACGAAAGCUAGGGGAGCGAACCGGAUUAGAUACCCGAGUAGUCCUAGCUGUAAACUCUGCGAGCAAGGUGUUGCACAUUCUCAGUGAUUGUGCAGUAUCGAAACGAAGGUGUUAAGCUCGCCGCCUGGGUAGUAUGGUCGCAAGGCUGAAACUUAAAGGAAUUGGCGGGGAGGCACUACAACGGGUGCGGCGUGCUGUUUAAUCUAAUUUUACACAGAGAAUCUCACUAGGGGCGACGGCCGAAUGACAGACAGGUUGAUGGCCUUUCUUGACAAGCCGAGAGGUGGUGCAUGGCCGCCGUCAGUUCGUGCUGUAAGGUGUCCUUUUAAGUAAGGUAACGAACGAGACCUGAGCCCAUAAUUGCCAGCAGAUCCUUUGGUUUCCUCAGGACGACUGGGCACAUUGUGGGGACUGCCUUCGAAAGGAGGAGGAAGGUUCAGGCUACGGUAGGUCUGUAUGCCCCGAAUCUCCUAGGCAACAAGCGCGCAACAAUGGCAGGAACAAUGGGCUGCAACUCCGAAAGGAGAAGCUAAUCCUCGAAAUCCUGUCCUAGUUUAGAUCGAGGUUUGCAACUCAGCCUCGUGACAACGGAAUCCGUAGUAAUCGGGUGUUAUCAGCGCCCGGUGAAUAUGUCCCUGCCUCUUGCACACACUGCCCGUCAAGCCACUCGAGCAGGGUCUGGGUAAGAUUCAGUUAUUUUGACUGUCUCGAAUCUAAGCUCAGUGAGAUGGGCUAAGUCGACACAAGGUA
rnacentral:rRNA from 1 species